UACGGAGGGUGCGAGCGUUGUCCGGAAUCACUGGGCGUAAAGGGCGCGUAGGCGGCCUGGUAAGUAGGGGGUGAAAUCCUGCGGCUUAACCGCAGGGCUGCCUUCUAAACUGUCAGGCUCGAGCACGGUAGAGGCAGAUGGAAUUCCCGGUGUAGCGGUGGAAUGCGUAGAGAUCGGGAAGAACAUCAGUGGCGACGGCGGUCUGCUGGGCCGUUGCUGACGCUGAGGCGCGACAGCGUGGGGAGCAAACAGG
rnacentral:rRNA from 1 species